rnacentral:rRNA from 1 species
GUCUGGGGGCAACUCUGGGCGGUCAGCGGCGGACGGGUGAGUAACACGUGGGUAACCCACCUGGGGGCCUGGGAUAACGGCUCGAAAGGGCCGCUAAUACCGGAUACGCUCCUCGGGGCACAAGCCCGGGGGAGGAGAGGGGGCGGCAACGCUCUCGCCCGCAGACGGGCCCGCGGCCCAUUAGCUAGUUGGGGGGGUAAUGGCCCACCAAGGCGAUGAUGGGUAGCCGGUCUGAGAGGAUGGCCGGCCACACGGGGACUGAGACACGGCCCCGACUCCUACGGGAGGCAGCAGUGGGGAAUCUUCCGCAAUGGGCGCAAGCCUGACGGAGCAACGCCGCGUGGGGGACGAAGGCCUUCGGGUCGUAAACCCCUGUCAGUGGGAAAGAAGGGCGGCGGGGUGAACAGUCCCGGCGUCUGACGGUACCCGCAGAGGAAGCCACGGCCAACUCCGUGCCAGCAGCCGCGGUAAUACGGAGGUGGCGAGCGUUGUUCGGAAUUACUGGGCGUAAAGGGCGCGUAGGCGGGGGGAGAAGUCGGGUGUGAAAGCCCUCGGCUCAACCGAGGAACGGCGCUCGAGACUCUCUCUCUUGAGUCCCGGAGAGGACGAUGGAAUUCCCGGUGUAGCGGUGAAAUGUGUAGAGAUCGGGAGGAACACCGGUGGCGAAGGCGGUCGUCUGGACGGUGACUGACGCUGAGGCGCGAAAGCGUGGGGAGCAAACGGGAUUAGAUACCCCGGUAGUCCACGCGGUAAACGAUGGGGGCUAGGUGUGGGGGGUAUCGACCCCCUCCGUGCCGAAGCUAACGCAUUAAGCCCCCCGCCU